rnacentral:rRNA from 1 species
GACGAACGCUGGCGGCGUGCUUAACACAUGCAAGUCGAACGGAAAGGCCCUGCUUUUGUGGGGUGCUCGAGUGGCGAACGGGUGAGUAACACGUGAGUAACCUGCCCUUGACUUUGGGAUAACUUCAGGAAACUGGGGCUAAUACCGGAUAGGAGCUCCUGCUGCAUGGUGGGGGUUGGAAAGUUUCGGCGGUUGGGGAUGGACUCGCGGCUUAUCAGCUUGUUGGUGGGGUAGUGGCUUACCAAGGCUUUGACGGGUAGCCGGCCUGAGAGGGUGACCGGCCACAAUGGGACUGAGAUACGGCCCAGACUCCUACGGGAGGCAGCAGUGGGGAAUAUUGCACAAUGGGCGGAAGCCUGAUGCAGCAACGCCGCGUGCGGGAUGACGGCCUUCGGGUUGUGAACCGCUUUCGCCUGUGACGAAGCGUGAGUGACGGUAAUGAGUAAAGAAGCACCGGCUAACUACGUG